GGCUUAAAUAGUGCUUAUUGAUAAAAUCGGAACAAUACACAAGAUUAACAUGGUCACUGCGUAAGGCUGAAGCGAAAAAAUCAAGAAAUAGUCCAAGAAUGC